GGGGGGGGGGGGGGGGGGGGGGGGGGGGGGGGGGGGGGGGGGGGGGGGGGGGGGGGGGGGGGGGGGGGGGGGGGGGGGGGGGGGGGGGGGGGGGGGGUGGUGGUUGGGGUGAAAUGUUGGGGUGAUACAUCCAGGUGACAGCUUGGGUGACACGUUGGGGUGACAUGUCCGGGUGACACGUUGGGGUGACAGUUUGGGUGCCACGUUUGGGUGACGCGUUUGGGUGCCACAUUUAGGUCACAGUUUGGGUGACACGUUGGGAUGACACAUUUGGGUGCCACGUUUGGGGUGACAGUUUGGGUGCCACAUCCGGGUGCCGCGUCCGGGUGACAAGUUUGGGAGCCACGUUCGGUGCCACGUCCGGGUGACAAGUUUGGGUGCCACGUUUGGUGCCACGUCCGGGUGACAAGUUUGGGAGCCACGCCCGGUGACGCUGCGCCCGUGCCCCCAGCGUCGGAGCCCAACCUGAAGGUGCGCUCGCGGCUGAAGCAGAAGGUGGCCGAGCGCAGGAGCAGCCCCCUCCUGCGGCGCCGCGACGGCUCCGUGCUCAGCGCCUUCCGCAAGCGCCACGUCGAGAUCACCGGUGCGUGGGGACACCCGUGGGGACACCCGUGGGGACACCCGGGGGGACACCCGUGGGCUGGGCUCGCGGCGUCCCCAAGUCACCGGGUGCUUCCCCAGAGCCGCCGGGGCCGCUGGGACACAGGGCGGGGUGUUGGCGUGCGGCACCGCGUGUGACACGGGGCAGUGCCAGCGUGUGACACUCUGUGACGCGCAGCAGAGUCCCCGUGCUCGUGUGUGUGACACGUGUGUCCCACAGAGCGUGUGACACGCAGGGCAGUGUCCCCGUGCUCGUGUGUGUGACACGUGUGUCCCACAGAGCGUGUGACACGCGCAGCAGUGUCCCCGUGCUCGUGUGUGUGACACGUGUGUCCCACAGAGCGUGUGACACGCAGGGCAGUGUCCCCGUGCUCGUGUGUGUGACACGUGUGUCCCACAGAGCGUGUGACACGCAGGGCAGUGUCCCUGUGCUCGUGUGUGUGACACGUGUGUCCCACAGAGCGUGUGACACGCAGCAGUGUCCCCCUGUGUCACACCCCUGUGUCUCUCAGUGUCACUGUGUGUCGCAGCCGUGUGUCUCAGUGUCCCGGUGUCACACCCGUGUGUCUCAGUGUCCCCGUGUCACACCGUGUGUCCCGCAGUGUCACUGUGUCACACAGAGCAGUGUCACUGUGUCACACGGUGCUGUGUCCCCCGUGUCACACCCAGGUGUCUCAGUGUCCCCGUGUCACACCGUGUGUCCCGCAGUGUCACUGUGUCACACAGAGCAGUGUCUCGGUUUGCAGCAGCGCCCCCGGGUCGGGGCCCAGCUCCCCCAACAGCUCCCACGGUGCCCACAACGGGCUGGCAGCGUCUGUCCCCAACAUCCACAGCGAGCUCCUGCCCCAGCCCCGCGCCCUGGCCCUGGACGGGGCCCAGCUCAGCCUCUACACGUCCCCGUCGCUGCCCAACCUGUCCCUGGGGCUGCAGGCCCGGGGGGGGGGGGGGGGGGGGGGGGGGGGGGGGGGGGGGGGGGGGGGGGGGGGGGGGGG
rnacentral:lncRNA from 12 species